rnacentral:lncRNA from 1 species
GGGAGCCACAUACAGGAUGAAGGAAGUUAUCCCGCUGACCGUUUGUCAGGGUUCCAUCUUAAAUUUCGUGGAUACGUGAGCUUUCAUUUCUGAACAAAAUCAGAAUCUACUAAAGACUCUGAACCAGUCUUCAACAGCUCAGCAUCAGAUUUGGGUCCUCUGAAGCGUGGGCCGCCUGCAGCCCUGCAAGGCCCACAACUCACCUGCGUAGACGUGCCAGCCUGGGGCCCUGCUGGAGCCGGUCACCGGCCUGGACUCAGCGUUUCUCAGCCUCAGCAUGUGCACGGUUUAGGCCAAAUCAUCUUUGUCGUGGGGCACAGGACACUGUGUGUUGUGGGAUGUUUGGCAGCAUCCCUGGCCUCUGCCAUUGGUGCUGUUAUCCCAGGCCCCUUUCCCCAGUGGGGACAACCGAAAGUGCCUCCAGACACUGCUGAAUGUCCCCUGGAGGUCACAGUCCUCCUGAUGGAGAACUACCCAUUGUCUACUCUCGUCUGUGCCCUUAGGCAGGAAGCCAAGAGAGCUGUGGGGGCCGAGGAGCAGCUGCUCUCUUCUGAGACUGGAGGAGACAUCACCUGUGAACACCACCCGCUUUAGGCAAUGAGACUGAAGUCUCCUUCCUCAGCCCACAUAGUCACGACCCAUGGAAACGGACACCACGGAUGGCGGUGGGCUGCGCGAUGGUUUCUCGCCUACUUGCUUCAACCAUCUGGCAUCUGAACACGGCUUUGUCUCAAGAACUCCACCCUCCAGAAGCACGGAAUGGCGAGGAGACAGAUACGGGAAGGCCAGGCACAGGAGGCAGUUGAUGGAGAUGCCUUCCAAAUAUUGGACUCCUAGCAAGAAUCUCUGCCUGAAAAUAUUGCAUCAUCAGAAGAGAAUUCCAAAAAUAUUUCAUAUUUUCAAAGGUGAUAUUGGUUCAUUCCACAGAACCAGGAAAUUAUCAAAAAGAUACUUACUUUCAUGCUAUCGAAGUACUGCUGGACUUGCAACAACUAUUGCUAACAUGUUCUUGAAUUAA